GGUGAAUCCAAAGUUGCAGGUCUGCGUUCAAAUGCAAGCGUUGCCACUUAGAUCUCUAACUUCUAAAAGGUGGUGGGUAUCUCCCUUACCAGCUGGUCAUGAGGAUCACAUGAGCUCGUAUGACAGAUGGGUGCGGGAACCAGAGUGGGCAUGAUGGGACUCCCCGUGUAAAUGAGGCAUGCGGGCUUGUUAGGGACCAGCCUUUGCAUCCCUCCAAGUGUCUCCCUUCCAUCCUUGACCCAAAACGGUAAGACCAAGCACGAGUGUAUUUGAAUGUCCUUUCUACUGGGAGUUCCUUUCCCCCCCUCACAGUCUGCUCAGCGAAUGUGGACAUAUCCACGGGGAACUUGUACUGGCUGCCGUGUGACCGAAGUGCCAUCCAGAAAACUAGCAUCCCUGGCCCGGACACAUGGACCCUCUACAGAACAGGCAGCCUUAUACUGCAUCUUCUUCUCGACUGGCCAAAGAGAGUGCUCUACUGGGUAGAAAGUGGGAAACACUUGCAAAGUAUGACCCUCGCUGGCAAAAACAGACGGCAAGUCUGGACGGGCACCUGGACGGCGGACACCCACAUGGCCUUAGACCUUGGCUCGUCUAGCAUCUUCUGGACGACCAAAGGGUCAGGGUUGCAAAGUCUGAGUCUCCUCAAAAAUAGAACAUACACUUUGAACAAGACCUGGAGUGACGGCAUUAUAGCGGCUCACGAGCCCUACCUGGUGACCGUGCACGGGGGAGCCCUCCUGCUGUGGGACAGGAGGACGCCGGAGCCCUUCGCAGUGUCAAGAGAGCCGUAUGUGAGGACAAUGAUCAUCCUGGCAGAGAAUCAGCAAGUUUCAGAUCCUGAGCUUGAAGAGGCGGCCGCAGGCGGUCCUCCCCUCGCACUUCCUCUAGCACCCCCACUGCUUUGCACCCCAUCCUCUGUCCCCUGUCGGAACGGGGAGGGAUGCGUUUCUCCGGAGAACCUCUGCGAUGGCAAGCCGGACUGUCAGGAUGGCUCGGAUGAAGGGGACUGUUCCCGGUUCUGCAACGGACCAGGUCUGUCUCU
rnacentral:lncRNA from 1 species